AUUUUUAUUACUUUUCCAUAAUGGUCAUCGAAUGGAAAUAGCAAGUAUAUUUUUUAAUUCUUCAAAUUACUACCUUUCAAUAAGGUAAACAAAAGCUCACUAAAAGCUUUUGGUUGUAAAUUGCUGUCAUGAAAGUGACCAACCUUUGCUCCCUAGUUUGAAUUAGGUUGUAAAGGAGUGGGGUGGAGUCGGAGUAUAUUCAACAUUUGAAAAUUUUCCCAUAGGAGAAAAAGAGAAUAAGAAAUGAGAUUAUUCUUGGCCAUAUUGAUCUUUUACAUUAUUAUUUAAACAAUAAAUUUAUGACAGCCUCACCAUACUAUGCCCAUACACCACUUGAGUUUUAACUCAAGUCCAACUUCUUUAUUGUUUUGGGGGCUUAACUGUGUGUAAUGCG
rnacentral:misc_RNA from 1 species